rnacentral:lncRNA from 10 species
GCAGUCAUCCUGCGACCUCCAGAAUCCACCGGGGUGCAGCGAGGCUGUGGAAAGUCCCACCCAGAACGUGAGGUGAAGAAGGCUUGGGCUGCGCUGGUUCUGCUCUGUCCGGGUCGGAGAUGAACUGACCCGGGAGAGCAGCGGAGGGAUGUUUCUUUUGGCCAACAGUGGGGACUCACCUGCACGUUUUGCGAAGAGGCCCACAGUCCUUUGCGUGGCGCUCGGACUACAUUUCCCAACGGCCCCUGCACGCCCUGGGGGCUGUUCCAUGCGGUGUUGCGCCUGCGUAGCCGGCGGGCUGGCAGUGAGACUGACUGCGUCGGGGUUGAGACUGGGUGGAUGAGGCUCACCCCGGCGGGGAGAAGGGACGAGGAGGGGCGGACAGCGGAAGGUCCGGGAGUGUCCGCCAUAAAGUCGUUUGAGGUGACCGUUGCGUAAUUGUGAGUCUGUGAGAGAAGAUGUGAAGUAUGGCCUCGUCCCGGUCAUCUGGGCGUGCGGGUCCCGGGUUUUGAUCGCGCGUUUGUUUUUAACUUCUAGUCAUGGCGAAUGAUCGCAGGAGAGCACAGACUGGACCCUGCUACGAUCUCUCUUGGAGUGGAUCAGACUGAUGAUCACCAACAACCAACUCAUUCCCGGAUAAGGAAGAAGAGAGUGUCACCUACUUCAGUGUGGUUUCAACCCUACUUCUGCAUCUUAAAGACACUUGUACAACGUUGGACACUGUGCAGGAUGAUGCCACUUCAUCUUGGAUGCUAAUCUGCCAUGUUGACUUCUGAUUAACCCCAGGCCCAGGAAUGCCUCAAGAUUUCUACUUUACUUACUGUUGCUUGUGUAAGCCAAGACAACCUUGAUGUUAUCAUAAACAUGUACUUACCUAAGUCCUGUCCUUUGGCAAAUUAUGGGCUAUGAGACACAGCAUUCUUGCCUUUCCCUGAGGGGUCAAUUUCAGCGAUCCUACACAUUCCUUCUGAAGCACUUAUGCUCUUUCUAUAUGGUAUGUAAGCUCUCGGUCUGGGGAGUAACAGUGCAGAGAUCUACCUGUCUUGUUGCCACAUGUUUCUAAACUUUCCAAUAAAUCACCUUCUACUGACAAACUGGAUUUGUCUUCCUUAUUCUUUGGUUUCUUGGUUCCUUUUUGGU